UACGAAGGGGGCUAGCGUUGCUCGGAAUUACUGGGCGUAAAGCGCACGUAGGCGGCUUUCUAAGUCGGGGGUGAAAUCCUGGAGCUCAACUCCAGAACUGCCUUCGAUACUGGAGAGCUUGAGUCCGGGAGAGGUGAGUGGAACUGCGAGUGUAGAGGUGAAAUUCGUAGAUAUUCGCAGGAACACCAGUGGCGAAGGCGGCUCACUGGCCCGGUACUGACGCUGAGGUGCGAAAGCGUGGGGAGCAAGCAGG
rnacentral:rRNA from 1 species